rnacentral:rRNA from 1 species
UACGGGGGGGGGCAAGCGUUGUUCGGAAUUACUGGGCGUAAAGGGCGCGUAGGCGGCUUUCAAGUGACGGGUGAAAUCCCUCGGCUUAACCGAGGAACUGCCUGUCAGACUGGAAGGCUUGAGACCGGGAGAGGUGAGUGGAAUUCCCAGUGUAGCGGUGAAAUGCGUAGAUAUUGGGAGGAACACCGGUGGCGAAGGCGGGUCUCUGGGCCGAUACUGACGCUGAGGAGCGAAAGCGUGGGGACGCGAAGCAGG